AAGCAAGUCAUAGAGGAGUAAAGCAUGUGCAGGGUAGGCUUCCAUUUUAAAAGGCAGGACUUCUACUGGUGCUCACACUUCCACCUUCCAAGCACACACAAGCACAGGCACCCAUCUCAUGCUGAUGUCCAGUGAAAGGCAUGUCGGGCGUUGUUUCAUAAUUGAAGAAGAAAAGCUUUUCCACAGAGAUAUUACACCAGAUGAAGCCGCAGAGGAGGAUGAAAAGGCUGUUUUUCAGAAAUGAAAUCCCCAUCAAUGGAUCCACUGUCACGGAGACCUCAAAUAAGGAGAAACUGAGGACUGAACUCUGCUGUUCUUUGUUCUAAAUUUCUUCCUGAGUGGCUUGGAGAGAAGGUCAUGCCCCUGACCCAGACCUAACAUUCUUUUCUGCUGAUCCCAAUUUUUAGACAAAGCUUUGCCUCCUUAACCAAUUACAAAUCGGAAAAUCUUUGAAUCCACCUAUGAGCUCUGGGCCCCUGCUUGGAGAUAUGUCACCUUUUUAGGUUAAACCAAUGUAUAGCCUUCAUGUAUUCAUUUAUGACUUGCCUAUAAUCUCUGCCUCCCCACCUUUAAAACCCUUACCUAUAAGCCAUUGGGGAGUUCCAGGCUUAAGUGUUACCAGCCCCAUUCUCUUUGCUUGAUGCCCUGUAAUAAAUGCCUCUCUUUCU
rnacentral:lncRNA from 1 species